GACGAACGCUGGCGGCGUGCUUAACACAUGCAAGUCGAACGGUGAAGCGCCUUCCUUUUUGGUGGGUGUGGAUGAGUGGCGAACGGGUGAGUAACACGUGAGUAACCUGCCCCCUUCUUCUGGAUAACCGCAUGAAAGUGUGGCUAAUACGGGAUCUUCUGGGUCUGUCGCAUGAUGGGUCUGGGAAAGAUAUUGUUUCGGUGGGGGAUGGGGUCGGGGCCUAUCAGCUUGUUGGUGGGGUGAUGGCCUAUCAAGGCGGGGGCGGGUAGCCGGGCUGGGGGGGUGGACGGUCACAGAGGGAGUGAGGCACGGCCGGGACUCCUACGGGGGGCAGCAGUGGGGAAGAUGGCACAAUGGGCGCAAGCCUGAUGCGGCGAGGACGCGUGAGGGAUGGAGGCCUUCGGGUUGUGAACCUCUUUCGCCAGUGAAGCAGGCCUGCCUCGUUUGUGGGUGGGUUGACGGUAGCUGGAUAAGAAGCGCCGGCUAACUACGUG
rnacentral:rRNA from 1 species